rnacentral:rRNA from 1 species
GACGAACGCUGGCGGCGUGCCUAAUACAUGCAAGUCGAGCGGACCAAAGGGAGCUUGCUCCUGGAGGUUAGCGGCGAACGGGUGAGUAACACGUGGGCAACCUGCCUGUAAGACUGGGAUAACAUCGAGAAAUCGGUGCUAAUACCGGAUAAUAAAAAGAACUGCAUGGUUCUUUUUUGAAAGAUGGUUUCGGCUAUCACUUACAGAUGGGCCCGCGGCGCAUUAGCUAGUUGGUGAGGUAACGGCUCACCAAGGCGACGAUGCGUAGCCGACCUGAGAGUGUGAUCGGCCACACUGGGACUGAGACACGGCCCAGACUCCUACGGGAGGCAGCAGUAGGGAAUCUUCCGCAAUGGACGAAAGUCUGACGGAGCAACGCCGCGUGAGUGAUGAAGGUUUUCGGAUCGUAAAACUCUGUUGUUAGGAAGAACAAGUGCCGUUCGAAAGGGCGGCACCUUGACGGUACCUAACGAGAAAGCCUACGGCUAACUACGUGCCAGCAG